CAUCUUCUAUUUGAAAAGUACAUAAACAGAGUUUUCUAAAUAUAAGGCUACCAUGAACAAGAGGCAGCUACAACAGGAAUGCAGGUACACCUUCAAAUCCGGCAACCAUCGAACACAGCAACAACAAAAGCCAACAUCUGCACGCAAUGUGUAGAAGUGUAGUAUCAAUGCAACCGACUACAUGUACUGAGUAAAUAACAAACCUAACUUUAGGUUGAAAGUAGUGACGAGUUGGAACAUAGGUCGGGUCGAACACUAACAACCAAUAGAAAUUCAUAACAACCUAGAGCAUAUAAAUAAGAAAAUAGCUCAGAGCGAGAAAAUGCUCAGCUUUUUCAUAAUUUUUCAAAUAGUUCCACCUUUAAAGAAUAUUACUGAAAACUCAAAUCCUUUACCAAAAUCAUCGUAAAAUAUGAGAUCGUUUGGAAAUAUAAAUAUUUCCAAAAAACCUUUCCACGAUAAAUUAGAUAUUUCAUUUUCUUUCAAGAUAGCAAGUGUGAAUUACCUCCUAAUGCCCACAUAUCAAUGAGUGUAAAAAGUCAGGAAUGACAUGAUACUGUACAAUGCAUCUUUGUGCAUGUAUGUCAUAUGUGCAUGCAUUUGCCGUGUAUCUCAUAGGCGAACCAAGUACUUACACUCUCAGAGUACUCAAUCUCAUUGCCUUACACUUUCCACUCAUCAUGAUCAACCACUCAGUAUUGUAUAUGACCAAUGAGGCCCAGGGAAGUUCAUCCUGGAACAAAUACAACACUGACUACAAGUCACCCAGUACCGAGGAAAAAGGGAAAUCUAACCAUGUGGAGAAAUCCAUCUCCAAGUAGCAAGUACUUUGGACAAAUACAUGUCAAGGGAAAUCCAUCCCUCAAUAAUAUCAUUCGCGCUCACUAGGGUGUGUACAGACUAUGGAGGGUCUCCUUCAGCCCAAGCGCUAUCAUAAUCAUUAAUACAACUCUAGCGGCAUGCAGCCCGAUCCCAUAACUGUCACUCAUAAUUAGGCUCUCAUCCUCACUCACUCAUCAAUCUCUCUAGUCUCACCCACAAUCUCCCAAUAUCAUGAAGACUAACCAGGAACAAUGAUAUGAUGUGUCAAUGAAUAGAGAUAUUGAUGUCCUAUACUUCAAUACCACACAAGAGGGGGGUGAUUUGUGUGGUGCCUAAUUUUUUGUUUCAACUGAUUAUAGAAGGACCUGAUUAUUUUUUAUGUGUUCCAACUACUACUGUUGCGGAAUAAUAAAUAAAGAAAUUAAAGAACACAGAGAAUUUACAUGGAAAACACCUGGCUCAAAAGGUGAAAAAAUCAUGAUCUACCUUCUAGUAGGAUAUUUCCAAACUCUCUACUAAAAUCAUUGAGCCAAAAACUGCAUUUACAGUAACUCUUUUGUAAACCUAGGAUUAACUCUAAUCUUAUUGUAGCACACAGUCUCAACUGUCGCGACAAUUUCAAGCUAACUCUAACAUGAAAACUCUAAGUACCUAAUACAAUUGCUUCUAGAUAAAGUUGAAAGGUACAAUAUCAAAAUACCUAGUACAAUGAACUAGAAUAAAAGGACAAACACUUUCUUCUAUAUGGUUCAAGUAGCUUCAAGAUUUCACGCUUGAAUAACACAUAAAUUGCUUGCAAAUUUGCCUUGCUAUUUUGCUCUCAAUUCACAUUUAAAUUCUACUUAUGUGCAUUACCUGUAAAAGAGAACAACACAGAUAUUUGUGGAGUUAGUAAAAAGAGAUUGACUAUAAUAUAGAUGAUAGUCUUCCUUUGUGGAAGAUUUCUAGUUGGUCUCAUCCUCUAACUUUAUCCAUUUCUUAACUCGUGUUUCUCCUUGUGCAAGGAGUCUUUCUCUUUAUCCAAUAUGUAACCUUUUCGAUCAGGAUCAGGAGAUGUCAUUUCUCGUAAGUUAGGUUUAUCUCCUUCACGUGCAUCUCACAUGUUUGAGUUGAUCAUAAAUGUGCUUCACAAGAUGGACAUGGUCCAUGUCUGAGUUCCUUUGUCAGCCUUCAAAUCUUCACCUUUACUUGGGCCAACAAAUUCCCCUUUUUUGAUGAUGACAAACUCUAUGUUUUACACUCACUUAGGCCCUAUUAGAACUUAACUUAUUCAGCAAUACAAAGUUAGAAAAUUUUACUUAUCAUCAAGGACCAGGUUCAUUAGGUUAUAAACACCACUUAUUAUGAAUAUAUAAAGCAUAAUAUAUCCUCCCCCUUUUUGGCAUCAUCGAAAAGUUUCAUAAACAAAGUGUGAUUCCUAGAAUAUUAACAAUACUCAUGGCCACUGGGGCAACUACAAGUGCAAUCAUGGAUUAAUCAUCAGUAAUCAAGCAGACACAUUUAAACUUUCAAGGAAAUAUUAACAAUCAACAAGAGCAAAAAUAUUAGGUUUUAUUGAUAGAAAAUAUGUUUCUACCACCAUCACAAAAGAAAGAGAAACCCCUAAUCUGGGUCACUGGUGGUACUAGACAAGUUCAGGAGAUGAAGGCUAGAAGUCUUAAGGCUUGGGAGAUAUAAAGGGUUGGUUUUGGGCUUGGAGAAGGUUCAGCAUAUUUUGGAAAAUGCCAUCAUUCUUCUCCUUUUCCUUAGUGAGCUCAGUUCUGAGAGCAUCCCUCUCAGAUUCAACCUCUGCUAAGCGAGCCUUCAGCCUAGCUAUCUCAGCAUACUUGCCCCACUCUCCUGUGCUAGAGGUCUGACUUUGCUAUUUAUAGGUGUCUUCUUGGAUGAACCAGGUUGAAUGGAAGUGACCUCAUAGUCACAUAGUCACAAGCAAUCAAAGUGUUGAUUCCGAAGUGAUCCUUGCUUGUAGCCAUUUCCCACUUCUUCAGAGGCACCAUACAACAACCAAGCACAGUAGUCAGAAUAAGCCAUAGGGAGUAGCAUGGGCUUUGGAGCCAUUGAUAACCAUGUCCAGUAUCUUGAUAAUAAAUGCAGGCCAAUUGAUCUGCCUUCCACUUUCAAGACACUCCAUCAACACUAAGUCCAUAUAAUUAGCAAUGUGCCUAUUACCUGCCUAGGUAGCAAGCACUUGUUGACAAAUUCAACCAGAACUUUGUGUUGUGGCUUCAUUUCACUCUUAUGAACCACUUUGGCAUGAUUCACUUCUGAGACAUCACAGAAUCUCCUGGUGAUUGCAAGGACAGUAGGAAGGGAGUCCAAACUUGGCCAUUUUCGCCUUGUGUAGUCAUCAUAUCCAUCGGCAGGGAUGUCAAAAAUCUCAUCCAGCUUCUCUGCAUCGAAAGUCACUUGAACCCCUUUCACUUGGUUGGCAACUCUACCAUCCUUGACCUCUGUAUUGGCCAUGAAUUCAAUAAUCACAUUCCUGUCCAACCUACCAUCCAACUGAAGGACCAUGUCCUUCCAGCCCUGAGCAGCUAAAGCAUCAACCAAUCGAACCAUCCCUGGUUCUACCAAAUCCUUAAUAAGUCUACCCUUCAUGAUUUUUCUCUUGCCAAACUUGGCCAUCUUGUCUUGUUCUUCAUCAAAUUCACUCUCUUCUUCACCACCCUAUUCCUCCUCCUCAGUAGUUCGUAUUUGUUUGUUUUUCACUGCAUACAUUGUUCUCUUGGCCAAUGAAGGUUCAGAAAUCUCAUACACAGAUCUUUUUGGGAUUGGGGGUUUGAACCUCCACAGUUGUAUAUUCCUCCUGAUGGACCUGUUCCAUCUCCUCAACAUCAAGAGCCUCAGAGGAAUCUGCAACCUUAGCUUUUUCUUUAUCCAUCCUCUUCUUCUUACUUUCAUCCAAAGCCUUUUGUAAUUCACUCUCACUUUGUUUUACCAUACUUCUUGUGGCUCUCCUCUUUGGGAAGGGAACUUCAGCAGUUGUUAGGGAAUUAGCCUUUCUUUUCUUGGUAUUCUUUGUAGUGAUGGGAACCUUAGAUGUUGGUGUUCUCCAUUUCUUAGGAUUAUAACUGGCACCUACUUUCUUCAGAAUGUCUACUAGUGUUUCUUUAACAUAUGAAUCGGGUUCAUCCACAUGAGAACAUCACUUCCCCCUAUUUUCUUGCCUUUCUCCUACAAGUUCAUCAUCAGCCCCACAAAUUUUCGAUCUAAUCAUCUCAGAGGUGGGUGACGAAUCAACCACUUCGAUCAAUAUUCUCCUCGCAUCACAACUUGCACCCUCACUCUCUUUUUCUUUUUCAUUUUUAUUUUUACCUCCUCUACUUCUCAACACAGGCAUUUCCAUAUUUCUAAUAGACUCAACAAGAACAAACCUAUUUUCUAUAUUUUCAACCAAAACGGAAUGUACCUCAAAAGGGGAACUCUGAAUCUUCUCAGAAUCAGAAGACACAAGUUCCUUCCCCCUCACUUCCAGACUUGAAGAAAUCAUCUAAAAGUGUUCAGAUUCUUGGACUUGUCUAGCUUUCUGUUGUGCGUUCAAUCUUUUUGACAGUGCACCUGUAGCCACAGAUUUACGAGUGAGCAUCUUAACACAUCUCCUCCUAGGCUGGGGGUUAUGCUGGUUUGAGGAGGUGUGGAGAAAUCAGAAGAUGUAAGUUGUGGAGGACCGCCUGGUUAUCUUGAGGGUUCAUAACUGUGACUAAUUUUGUGACAGAAUUUGUGAGUUUGGCUUUUGGAAGAGAGAACAGUUGAGAGUGAAAGAAAUUUUGACGGUUUUGGAAUAAUGAGGGUGGAAGAAGGUGAUGAUAGGUUUUUAAAGAGAGAAACUUAAAUAAUGACUAACAGUAGCUUUUUGCAGUCAAUUAGAAGUCCAAUCAACCUGAAAUUUCAGGUUGAAUGAGUAGUUAAGCUUCCCUAGAUUCUAGACAAUUUAUGUGGCGAGAUUUCAAGUAAAGACGGAACUGGUUCAAAAAAUAAACGGAUAGGAUUUUCUGAUGGUUUUGAACAUAGGUAGGACUCUUAUCAUGAUUUAAAUAUUUAUAUUUCUAAUUGUACAGAGCAUAGAAAACAUACCUCGUUAUUCAGAUGAACCAAUACUGAUGAACUAGGUUCUUCAUUUAGAAUCCUCUUGAUCAUGCCUCUAUUUGUUAGAGAUCUGAGAGUCAUAUCAACACAUGUCACAGGAGUAUACUAUUUAUAGCAUGAAACUGAGCAAAAAUUAAUUUAGAUAUUUAUACAAGGUCCAGAUUUACUAGCCAACAAAAAAAUCAUUUUUUCAUUGUUUAUUCUGAGCCGAUCCCAUUAGGUGAUUUUAAUCAUUUCUAAUUCUAACAUGUUCCUUUCAAAGCAUUCUCUACUCCGUGCUUCAGUAAAGAUAUUAGAAAUCUACUUAUCAGUAGCACAAAAUUCUAUAGUAAUCAAUCUUUUCUCAUAGUUGUCCCUUAAGAAGUGAUGUAUAAUAUCUAUGUGCUUAGUCAUCUUAUGACGAACUAGUUUCUUAGUCAUACUAAUAACACUAGUAUUAUCACAAAAAAUAGCGAUGCAACCAACUUCAAUGCCAAAAUCCAUCAGCUGCUAUUUGAUCCACACCAAUUGAGCAAACCAAGGGGCAACAACAACCUACUUAGUCUCAGCAGUGGAUAAGGCCACUGAAUUUUACCUUUUAGUUGCCCAUGAUACCAGACAUGAACCAAGAAAAUGAGUCAUAUCUAAGGUGCUUUUCUUAUCCACAAGGAAACUUGCAUAGUCAGCAUCAGCAUAUCCUACUAGAUAAAAGUUACUACCUUUAGGGUACCAAAGGCAAAGGUUAGUAGUGCCCUUCAAAUAUCUAAGUAUCCUCUUAACAUCAGUCAAGUGGGAUUCCUUAGGAUUUGCUUGAAAAAGAGCACAAAGCCCUACACUGAAGAUAAUGACAUGCCUGCUAGCAGUAAGAUACAAAAGUGAACCAACCAUACCCCUAUACAACUUCUGAUCAACAGAUGAAUCAGGUUCAUUUAUGUCUAAUUUAGUAGUUGUUGCAAUGGGUGUGUUUAUUUCCUUUGAUUCAUCCAUUUUAAACUUCUUGGUCAACUCUUUUGCAUAUUUCUACCAAUGGAUCAUGGUUCCAUUUAAGUUUUGUUUGAUCUGUAAGCCUAAGAAGAAGUUCAUCUCACUCAUCAUACUCAUUUCAAACUCACUCCCCAUUAAUUUAGCAAAUUCCUUACUAAGUUUUUCAGUGGUUGCCCCAAAUAUUAUGUCAUCAACAUAUAUUUGUACUACAAGUAGAUCCUUACCUUUUUCCCUCAAGAAUAGAGUGAUGUCAAUAUUACCUCUUUUGUAUCUAUGUUCAAGUAGGAAUUUGGAUAGGCGUUCAUACCAUACUCUAGGAGCCUGUUUGAGUCCAUAUAGGGACUUGUCCAGUUUGUAUACAUGAUCUGGACACUCCUUACUUUCAAACCCUGGAUGUUGUUUGACAAAGACUUCUUCCUUUAAGUAGCCAUUUAGGAAGGCACUCUUCACAUCCAUUUGGUGAAGGGUAAAUUCCAUGUGUGCUGCAAAGGCUAUGAGGAGUCUUAUUUCCUCCAGUCUUGCUACUGGAACAAAGGUCUCAUUAUAAUUUAUGCCUUCCUAUUGGCUAUAACCUUGGAUCACCGGCCUUGCCUUGUUUCUUGUAACUGUUCCAUUUUUAUCAAGUUUGUUUCUGAAGACCAAUUUAGUGCCAAUAACUGAUCUAUGCUUGGUUCUUGUGACUAGAUGCCACACUUGACUUCUUACAAAUUUAUUGAGUUCAUCUUGCAUUAUAUUUACCCAAUAUGCUUCCUGCAAAGCUUCAGCAAUAUUUUUAGGUUCAAUAAGAUAUAAGAAUGCAUCAAAAGCACAUAGAUUCUUUAAUUGAGAUGAUGAGGAGUCUUAUUGCCUCCAGUCUUACAACUGGAGCAAAGGUCUCAUCAUAGUCUAUGCCCUCCUCUUGGCUAUAAACUUGGACCACCAACCUAGCCUUGUUCCUUGGAAUCGUUCCAUUUUCAUCAAUUUUGUUUCUAAAGACCCAUUUAGUUCCAAUUACUGAUAUGUCCUUGGGUCUUGUGACCAGAUUCCACACUUGACUUCUUUCAAACUGAUUGAGUUCAUCUUGAAUUGCAUUCACCCUGUCUGUAUCCUACAAAGCCUCAGCAAUAUUUUUACGUCCAAUAAGAGAUAAAAAUACAUCAAAAGCACACAGAUUCUUUAAUUGAGAUUUAGUUUUAACUCCAGAAGUUGGGUCAGUAAGGAUGUUCUCAAUAGGAUGAGAACCUUGAUACUUGUAAGGUUUCACAACCAACUGAUUUAUGUUUGUAGUUUCUCCCAUUUUCUGUUACAGAGGAGCAAUCUCAUGGACAGGUUCCAUUUGGGAGUUAGAUUCAUUUCAUCUUUGUUCAGUUUCCCCUAUCAUGUUGCACUGGAUGGAAGAACAUGUUCCAUCACUUGUUCCUUCUUUUGGUGCAGCUUUAGCUUGAGUUGUGACUUCACUCAAUUCUUUUACCAGCCCGAUAGCUUCAUACUCAUGUUCUUGUGUUUUAGAAAGAAUGUUAGUUUCAUAAAAAAACCACAUGUACACUUUCUUCUACACACAAUGUUCUUUUGUUGUACACAUUAUAAACUUUUCUAUGUGAAGAAUACUCCCCCAUCACUUCUGGGAUCAAACUUACCUAGGGAGUCCUUUCCAUUAAUGUGAAGAGGGAACUUGCAUCCAAAUGCCCUAAGAUGGGAUAUAUUUGGUUUUCUCCCUUUAAGUAACUCGUACGGAGUCUUCUCUACAAGAGGUCUAGUCAUGCACUUAUUAAUGAUGUAACAUGGAGUAUUUACAGACUCUGCCCAUAAGCUAUGGGGAAGAUUACUAGAAAGAAACAUAGUCCUAGCCAAAUAUUCUAGAGUCUUAUUCUUUCUUUCAACUACUCCAUUUUAUUGAGGAGUCCUAGGGGCAGAAAAAUUAUGAUCUAUACCAUGCUCAUCACAAAAUUCAGCAAACUUAGCAUUUUCAAAUUCAGUUCCAUGAGCAAACCUAAUUGAUGCAAGUUGAUUACCUAGUUGUUUCUGAGUUUUUCUAACUAAGGCGGUAAACAUGUCAACUGCUUCAUCCUUAGAUGUUAAAAGCAAUGUCCAAGUAAACCUAGCGUAAUCAUCAACAAGCACCAUCAUAUAUUUCUUACCAUCUCUGCUUACUAUUCUCAUUGGACCACAAAGAUCCAUAUAAACCAAUUCUAUCGACCUAGUUGUACUUACCACUUUCUUGCUUUUAAAAGAGGAUCUUACCUGCUUUCCCCUUGCACAAGCCUCACAAACUUUGUCUUCCUUAAACUUGAUGUUAGGUAACCCUAUCACCAGAUCCUUGGAGACUAAUUUGUUGAGUUAACUUAGACUUGCAUGAUCAAGACUUUUGUGCCAUAUGAGGGGAUCAUUGUCCAACACACUUAAGCAGGUGAGUUUAUUUUCUAAAAAGAGUGGACAAAUCUACAAUGUAAAUAUUGUUAACUCUUUUUCCCUGCAAAUAAUCUUGUCAGUGGUAAGAUUUAUUACAAAACAUUUGGUAGAAGUGAAUGCUACCAAGUUACCUCUAUCACACAAUUGUGAUACACUGAUUAGGCUAUAUUUCAAGCCAUCUAUCAAGUAGACAUUCUCAAUGGAAUGUGAGUCUGUCUUACCUAUCUUUCCAACCCCAAUGAUCUAACCUUUCUUACUAUUUCCAAAGGAGACACUACCUCUUUUUAUGUUCUCAAGUGAAAGGAACCGGUUCAUACUUCAACUCAUAUGCUUUGAUCAGACACUAUCCAUGUACCAUAUUUGGCUACUUCCAUUCACUUGGACCUACAAAACAAAAUCAAGGUUUAGUCUUAGGAACUCAAACUAGUUUGGGUCCCUUUCUAUAGGCAAAGGGGUGAAUUAAAUUCUUUUUAGCCCAUCCCGGCAGCCUAUAUUCUUUUGACUGGCCUUUUAUUUUGCAUUAUACUAACUUUUGCAGUGACCAGCCUUGCCACAGUGUGUGCAGAUUUUGCUCUCAGGAAGUAUGAUGUACUUGCUUUUGGGAUCCCACUUAGGUGUUGGGGUCUUAUAGCCAGGUCCUCUCGUAUUGCUACUGUCAUGCUCUUGUGGCCAGAAUAGUGCAUUAGAAGACUUAUUCCAUUUGCAAGUUCUAUCUAAUUCAUGCUUCACCUUGCCUAGAUCUUCUUCUAGGACUCUUAUCUACUCAUCUCUCUUGUACAACUCAUUCUUCAUUUUUUCUAGAUUUUCUUCUAAGGUGAGGUGUGUGUGAUCAGCUUUCUUUUACCUAUUCCUAAUUUUAAUUUUAAAUUUUCAAAUCUAAGUUCUAAGACUGUGGUGUCAAGUUCAAGAACCUGGUUCUCCAACUCAGUAUUUUUACUAUCACUUUAACUAUCCUUGAGUUUCAGAUUUUUGCACUUAGCUUAUAUGAUCACACAUUCCCUAGAUAGUUGUUCCUUCUCAUUGUUUAUGACCUCAGACUCAUCAAUUAAAUCUAGAAGUAAUUCAGAUAGCUUUUAUUUAGACAAAAAUUUAAUCUUGUCUUUGAGAUGAAUCACACUUACCUCUUGUUCAUCACCUGAUUCUCCAAUAGCCAUAAGUACUUGUUCAUCUCCACUUUCAUCUUUUGAAUCUUCUUCUGAGCUUUCUCCCCGAGCAGUAACCAGAUCCUUUGUUAAUUUUUUGUUCUUCUUGGUUGAACAUGUUCCUUCUUCUUGUUUCUUCGUUCAGCCCUUUCUUUCUUCCAUUCAAUUUUCCACUAACGAUAAUUCUUGAUCAUGUGGUCAGUCUUACCACAUUUGUAGCAGCCCUCGUUGGUCUAUUUUUCAGGAGCCCUUGGUUUAUUGAAGGUUGCGCCUUUUGAAGAACCUUUUUCCCUCAUUAGGUACUUCUUGAAAUCCCUUGUGGUCAUAUCCAUUUCAUCAUCCUCUAAUUCUGCACCUUCAACUAUUCUGAGAGCCAAGCUUCUUUCCUUCUUGGGUGCAUCCAUCUUCAUGGUUUGCCUUCUCAGUUCAUAUGCAGUGAGAUUUCCAAUCAGCUCAUCUAACUUGAGAGUACCAAUGUUCUUUGAUUCCUAAAUAGCAGUGAUUUUGCUUUCCCAAGUUACUGGCAAGACCCUUGUCAAGAUUUUCUCAACCUUGUCUUCUUCAAGAAUAAUUAUUCCAAGAGACUUAAGUUCAUUUAUUAGUGUUGUGAACCAUGUGUACAUACCUUGGAUGGUUUAUUCUUCCUUCAUGGUGAAAUUCUCAUAUAGAGAAUAUAACAGUGUUCCUCUUGGUUUAUUUGUUAGUGUUUUGAAACUUGUGUACAUCUUUUGGAUGGUUUCUCCUUCCUUCAUGGUGAAAUUCUCAUAUUGAGAAUACAACAAUGUUCCUCUUGAUCUCUUUACUAGAGAAGUUACUUCAUGGGCCACUUGUAGAGUGUCCCAGCCCUUCUUAGCAGUUGUACUACUUUAAAUUAUGAUGUACUAGUCUGGACCUAGAGCACACACAAGCUAUUUCUUAGCCUUGGUAUUAUUUUUCCACUUCUUCAAAUCUUCAGCAGUACAGUUCUAGUCUUUGGCACAUCCACUCCUUAAGCAUUCUUCUUUGUAGUAGCCAAGGGACCAUCAAUAACAAUGUCCCAUGUUCAUAAUCUUCUCCUAUGAUGUGGUCCCUCAUCUUAUUCUUCCACAAGGAAUAGUACUGGUCGUUAAAGAGUGGAGGCCUAGAAGUAGAUUGUCCUUCCCAGUUUCCAGGUGGUGCACUUACCUUGAUAUGUUCCUAAGGUGUUAGCCUCUUCAAGGAUAACCUGCUUUGAUACUAAUUGAUGUUCUAUACUUCAAUACUACAAAAGAGGGGGGUGAUUUGUGUGGUGCCCAGUUUUUCGUUUGACCUGAUUAUUGAGGGACCUGGUUCUUCUAUGUGUUCCAACUACUACUAUUUUUGAAUAAUAAAUAUAGAAAUUAAAGAACACAAAGAUUUUACAUGGAAACACAUGGCUCAAAAGGAGAAAAAAUCAUGACCUACCUUCCAGUAGAAUAUUUCCAAACUCUCCACUAAAAUCACUGAGCCAGAAACUGCAUUUACAAAAAGUCUUUUGUAUACCUAGGAUUAACUCUAAUCUCGUUGUAGCACACAGCCUCAACUGUUGUGACAACUUCAAGUUAACUCUAACUUGAAAACUCUAAGUACCUAAUACAAUUGCUUCUAGAUAAAUCUGAAAGGUACAAUAUCAAAACACUACUACAAUUGAACUAGAAUAAAAGGACAAAUGCUUGGAACUGGUUCUUCUAUCUGGUCAAGUAGCUUCAGGAUUGCACGCAUGAAUCAGACAUAAAUUACUUGCAAAAUUGCCUUGCUAUUUUGCUCUCAAUUCAUGUUUAACUUCUGCUUAUGUACAUUACCUGUAAAAGAGAACAAUACUGAUAUUUAUGGAAUUGGUAAAAAGAGAUUGACUAGAAUACAGAUGCUACUCUUCCUUGGUAGAAGAGUUCUAGUUGGUCUUAUCCUCUAAUUCUAUCCAUUACUUAAGCCGUAUUUCUCUUUCUGUAAGUAGUCUUUCUCCUUAUCCAAUAUGCAACAUUUUCAAUCAGGAUCGGGAGAUAUCAUUUUUGGUAAGUUAGAUUUAUCUCCUUCACGUACAUCUUACAUGUUUGAGUUGAUCAUAACAGUGCUUCACAAGAUAGACCUGGUACAUGUCUGAGUUCCUUUGUCAGUCUUCAAAACUUCACUUUUACUUGGGCCAACAGAUAUGAUAUAAAUGCAUGAAUAUGACUGAGUACAAAAUAUCAAUGAAAAGCUAGUGAGUUGACAGAAAGAAAUGACCACUAUGGGUCCUAACAAUAUCAACAAAAGCCUAAACAUGAUAUCUAGCAUGAUUGACAGCUCAGUUACUUAAUCACAUGGUGAAAACAUAGAUAUCAACAAAAUAGGGCCACUAAAUAGUGCCCUAAUUAUAACAGAGUCAUAAUUCAAAGGGUGCACGCCCACACGCCCGCCAACUAGUAUGUGAGUCAGCUCAACAAAAAUCAGAUAGCACAUUAUUUGGGGUUUCAUACCCUCAGCACUAAGUUGAGAGAAGUUACUUACCUCGAACAAGCGAAUUCUAAUACCGAGAAAACCAGACGAUGCUCCAAGAAUGACAUCACAUACAUAGCGACCUCCGAACGGCUCAAAACUAGCCAAAAAUAAACUCAAAUAAAUCCCAAGGAAACAAUUCGAAAUGAUAAAGAUCGAAUCUUAACUCUAAUCCUAAUUGCGGACAAAAAUCAUAGUCAGACUCGCACCUCGGAACCCGGAAAAACUCACAAAAUCUGAUAAUCCAUUCAACUAGUUUCACAAAAUUCGACUCCAUAUCAGUGUUCAAAACUCUAAAAUUCAUAUUAUGAAACCUUAGGCCAAGACCCCCAAUUUCUCCUUAAUAUUUAUCAAACAAUUUCCAAAAAUGAAGAUAGAUUCAUGAAAUGUGAUAAAAAAUGAGUAGAGAACACUUACCCCAAUCGUCGUAGUGACAUUUGCUUCUGAAAUCACCUCCUACAGAGAUCCCAAAUCAAUUUUUUGAUAUAAACUCAAAACCCUCGAUUUUAAUCGCUUAUUCUGCCCAGGCAUCCUCUUUUGCGAAAUCGGGAACACCAUCGCGUUCGCGAUAAAGAAAAAAUUCAGCCACCAAAAAAUGCUUUACGCGUUCAUGGAACAAGCCUCGCAAAUGCGAUGAAGAAAGGUCCUCCAGCCCAAGACCCAACUUAACUCUUCGCGGACGCAAUCCGCCAUACACGAACAUGAAGAAGUCUCGCCCCAACAAUAUGCGAUGGCGGACCUAUAUUCGCGAAUGCGAAGAAGAAAUAUUGUUGCAAUCAAAAUACACUACGCAUUCGCGACAAUUGCCACGCGAACGCGAUAAGGACUGAGACACCAAAAAACCAGUAGAACACAGCAGUGUAAAAUGAAGGAAAAAUCCCGACAUCAAUCAAAAACAUGCUCGAGCCCCUCGAUACCGCAUCACAACAUACCGACAAGUCCCAUAACAUCACACGGACCUACUCGAGUCCUUAAAACACACAUAACAAUAUAGAAACGAUGAAUCACACCUCAAUUCAAAAUCUAUGAAGUUUGAAACUUAAAACUUCAGCAACCGAUGUUGAAACCUAUCAAAUCACGUCCGAAUGACCUCAAAUUUUGUACACAAGUCAAAUUUGACAUUACGGACCUGCUCCAACUUCUAGAAUUGAAAUCCGACCCUGAUAUCAAAAAUUUCACUCCUGGUCAAAUUUUUCAAAAUUCCAACUUCUGCCAUUUCAAGCCAAAUUCUGCUAUGGACCUCCAAAUUACGAUCCGGAUGAAAAUACCUUUGAACCAUACAAAUCAUCCAACAUAUCUUCCAACCUAGGAAUAGGUUAGUGAUACUUUGUCGUGAUUUUGUUGAUAGCUCUACAGCCAACAAACAUAUGCCAAUACCCGUCUUUCUUUGGUACUAAAAUUCCUGGUGCAACACAAGGGCUCAUGCUUUCCCUCACGAACCCCUUAUUUAGCAACUCCUCUACUUGCCUUUGAAGUUUCUUAGCCUCAUUUGGUUUCUUUUAUAAGCCGGUUUCUUCAGAAUCUGAGAUCCUAGUACAAAGUCAAUUUGGUGUUCAAUCCCCUUAAGUGGUGGCAAUCCUUCAAGUAGCUCCCCGGGGAAGACAUUAUUAUAUUCCUAAAAUAAUGAGAUAAAAUUACUACACAAACUGUUAGAGAGUUCGUUAAUAUUCAAAUAAGAUCAUAUAUACAUACAUAGUAAAAGUGGUAUUCCUUCACUAAAGGUCUUUUCACAAUCUUUGGCUUUUACAAAAAGGUUCUCUUCCUUUUGCCUAUUUUCUCAUCAUCACUCGAUUUCUUUUCAUUCUUCCUCUUUCGGCUACCCUAUGAUUUUUUCACUUCCUCACUUUCCUUAAUCUCGACAAGUACAAUUUGCCUCUACACUCAUUCUCUCUUUUUUCUUCUCUCGCCAUCUCCCCACCCAAUUGUUUAACUCUUUUAUGAUCUCCAUACACUUGAAGUGGAGUCAAGGGCUUCAAGAGAUACUUUUUACCCUUUAGCCAAGAGUAUAGCUAUUAAUCCUCCCUUCAUGUAGUGCAUUACUAUCAUAUUGUAAUGGCCUCCCAAUAAAUAAAUGACAAGCCUGCAUAGGUACAACAUCACAUAAAAUUUCAUCCAUGUACUUCCCAAUUUUGAAGCAAAGAAAAAUCUACUUAUUCACUUUUAGUUCCCUACUAUCACUCAACCAUUGAAGUUUGUAGAGACAAGGAGGUUUCAUGGUCCUAAGACCCAACUUCUCAACAAGAGACACACAAGCCACAUUAGUGCAACUUUCACUAUCAACAAUCACGGAAUAAAUUCUUCCACCAAUAUUAUAUCUAGCGUGGAAUAAAAUUUCCCUUUGAUCAGAAUCACCCUCUUUCAUUUAACUCCCAUUAACCUCCUAACAACUCUCCAUCAGAUUCUUCCACACCAUCAUCAGAUUCAUAUUCUCCAUUCUCCUUAAUCAAAAUAGCUCGUCGAUUAGGACAUUCAUAUUGCAUAUGUCCUCUUCCCUAAUAUUUAUGACAAAUAAUAGAACUCGAAUUUAUGUAAGGUUUAGGUUGAGUAGAAUUCCCUCCCUCUUUAACAUCUGCCUUAUUUUUACUCUUUUCAGCUAAUUGAGAUGGCUUGACUUCAGUUUUUACCUCUUUACUCUUACUCGAAGAAGAUCUCCAAGUAGUUUUAUCUCUGUUCCUACUAGCAGAGGACAACUUAUUUUGAUCUCUAAGUAUCCUCUCUACCUUAGUAGCCAAGUGUAACAUCUUUACUACAGAAUGACAAUCCCUAGAAAGUUCAAUCUGAUUAGCAAUGUCUUUAUUCAACCUAGUGUGAAAUCUCUGGGUUGGCCUUCAUCCUAAGAACCUCCAUGGUAUUGUAAUGCUCUUCAAUACUUUUGUGUCAUUGUACCAAGUUGUGCAACUUCUUAAUAAUCUCUCUAUAGUAAUAUGAAGGUACAAAUCUAUCCCUCAUUGCUCUCUUCAAGUCUUCCCAAGUCUCAAUUUGUAUGUCACCAAGCCUUCUAUGAUCAAGCUCAGUUCUUUCAAGCCAAGCAGAGGCAUAUCUCUCGAAUUCAGUCACCGCCAUUUGAACUCUUUUCUCCUCAGAGUAGUUAUAAAAUAUGUAUAUCCUUUGCAACUUUGCUUCCACUCCAAGUAUGCAUCCAUGUUGGUUGUUCCCUCAAAGGAAUGAAUUUUCAUCUUAAUGCUACCCAAGUUUCUAUCUACUCAUCAUCUCGGUUGUGUUGAUUCCACUGUCGCACCCCAAAUCCUCUAUAAUGCCUAGAUACUCUCCUACACCCUCUCAAGCAUUGAUGACUAUAAGUAAUAUGGUUAUCAAAAUCUUUAUAUUCAAAUUCUUCAUUUUGACACCUUAAUGUACUGCAGGUGCCCGAGCUACUGGUAGUGUCUGAUUAGCCCUCUAUAAGUUUUCUACCUGCAAAGUCAGAUGUUGUAUUUGUUUCAUCAUAGUUUUCAACGUCUCAUUAGUUCCUUCAACCCAAGUUGCUUUAGUUCCACUAGUACUAUCCUCGAUGGUAGACAUUCUCUCACAAUUAUGGUUUCUUGCGUUUCACUCAUAUAUAUUCUCUGCCUCACUCCUUAGAAAUCCUCAAAGUUCAAGCCCAACUCACAAAUCACCUAUCCAAGAAUAAGUCUUCUUGAAAGUAAUUUAAGAUUGGAGUUUAUGUAAUCAAGAACGGACUUUUAUAAACUAAGGACGGGAUCUAAGAAAUUUCUAUGAAAAUUACAAGAAUAGCACAAACGAAUUGGCACGAAAGAAAUAGUUAAUUUCAAAUAUUAAGAAUGAUUUAAUGCGAAUAGAACUAGUUCGUUCUUAACAAGAAUCCCCAAUGGAUAUUUCUUACCCAAAAGUAGUCUUUCCCAAACAAUCAACAAGAACAUUUCAACAAUAAUUUUUUAUUUUAUUAUUUUUUUUCUUUUGAAACUCAAGAACGAUUUUUUUUUUGUUGUUGUUUCUUUUUUUUGUAAGAACCUCGACUAGGGUUUAGUUGAAAAUAAGAACAAUGCUUUUUCUAACUAAUUUGGAUCUUGAUCUGGGGAACGUGGGUUUGUUAGAAUAAUACCCAAGCCUUUGCUCUUAUACCAACUGAUAAGAUCGGAGAUAAAUAAAAUAUCGGAAUAUGAAAAUAAUAAUAAUUGAAGCAAAACUAAUGAUAGGUUUGAUUAAGAUAAUCAAAAGUAGUUUGAAUAAUAAAAAUUUAGAAGAAUCUAGAAUCCUAAGUGAAUGUCUCAAGUAACAAUCAAAAAACUAUCUGAUCGUCUCCCAAGAACGACAAAUUCGAAUCCUAGAUAUAAAGAAAAGAGAAGAAGAUUAGAUUACCCUCAAGAACCCAAGUCUUGAAAACAGGUAAUCCAAUGUCGAACUCGAACCAAGAGGUUCCAAUUCUCUCUCAAAUAGGGGUGGACAUUCGGUACUUCGAUACGGUAUUUAAGAACUUCAGUUUGGUAUUUUGGUAUUCGGUUUAUCACGUGUAUACCAAAUACAGUAUCAAAGUAGUUCGGUAAGGUUCGGUAUUUCUUGUUUUAUUUCGAUAUGGUUUCGGUUUGAUACAUUAACGGAAUAGAUGAUAUAAAUAGAGUGGGCAGUGGACUGGACACGAUGCGCUAAGCUAGCUGCUAGACAAUGCAUGAAGAAGCAUCAUUUAAAUAAGCUAGCAGCCUCCUAAAGUUUAUGAAGCAACUUUAGCAGAAUUCAAGUAUACCAAGCAACUAGCCAACUAAUGAGGCUAACAGGAACAAGCAUCAACAGAAUUAAAGUAUAUUAAACAAUAAACACAUAAAUCAACAGUAAAAAGUACAUUAAAGAAUAAACAUAAUUGUCCAUUCAAGCAAUUCUUUAAACGAGCAGCAGAAUGCAACACAGCAACAACUUCUUCCAUCUAACAAGCAUCAGCAGAAAUCUGAAUUAAACAAUAAUCUGAUGCAACAAAAACAGAGAUGGCAUGCACCUGCUACUGAGGUCGUGAAGUCGUCGUCGCCCUCUGCUAUUGUAGUCGUGAAUCAGCAGCAGCCAAGCAAUGUUGCAACUUUUUAAAAAUAGAAAAGGGAAAGGGGGUAAGGAGAAGAAGCUACUGCCCGUAAGUCUGUUGUC
rnacentral:lncRNA from 1 species